rnacentral:rRNA from 1 species
CGUCACCCGUGCAACCAACCCCCACCUCUCUUUCGUCUCAGUUUUUGAGACCAAAGGGCCGUCCGUGGCUCUCCCCCUCUUAAGAGCCCCUUUUUUCCUAUUUCGCUGCCUGUCCCUCCCUCCUUAGGGUAAUCGCGUUCCCUUAAAUCCUCCUAAAGCUAAAUCAAAUCCGCGCGCGUGGUGCUAAUUUGUUUAGUUUUCUUAGCCUUUCCGUUCCGGAACGCGUGGCAUCUUUAACGGGGCGGUCGGUCGCGGUGGUAGGUAGUGGUAAGUGGUAAGUGCUCGUCGUCGCGCCUCGUGGGUCGUUCCUUCGGGGGGCAAGGGAGAGAGAGAUGCAGAGAGCCAGAGAGGAGGAGGGCGGCGGCGGCGGCGCGGCACGGACUCUAAACCGGGCUGCUCCUCCUCCUCCUCCUCCUCCUCCGCCUCCGCCAACACGGCCAGCAAAGAACCUCCCCCCCACCUCCCCCGCCCGAACGACGGUACCGCCGCCCGACCCGAACCGUGUCCUAGUCGAUUAGACUUGUCAGCAACCAACGAGAACCCUGCUUAUAACAAGUAACCCACCACCGUAUAAGAGACUAUUGAAGAGUACAGACCACUAGUAGCUUUCGUUUGUGUAAGGUGACCUUUAGUAAAGGACACUGUUCGUUAAGGAUCAAAAUCCCGUUUAGAGGAAACCGCCACUUGUAAAGUCUGUCACUGACAAGACAUCAAGAAGACCUUAGAGGGAACCGUGACUUGUAAAGUCUGUCGCUGACAAGACGUCAAGAAGACCUUAGAGGGAACCGUGACUUGUAAAGUCUGUCGCUGACAAGACGUCAAGAGACCCGUUUAGAGGAAACCGCUUUGGAUGGUCAUCAAGCCCCGUUUAGAGGAAAACCGUUUUGGAUGGAUAUCAAGCCGUUUAGAGGAAACCGUUUAGAUGGAUCAAGAAGACUAGAGGAAGGAAUGUAUAAGAAAACGAAGGUUAAUCGAAAUCGAUAUCUAACGAUAGAACCGUGUAGAGGUGGCCGUUGAUCCGACCCGUUUAGAGGAAACCGUGGUUUAGAAUGACAAAGAAUAAACGAUAGACCCGUUUAGAGGAAACCGCCAAUGACAAUGAAAUAGUCCCUAGGAAACCGUAAUCGUGAGUUCACACGACUGGAAUGUGAACGACAAGUCUCUGCCAAGAAAUCAAAUAAUGUAGUAGUGUCUUGUGUCGAACAAUGUUUUUCCCGAACGUCUGUACCUAGACAAACAUUAACUAAGUCUGUCACUCAGUAUGUCACCUUGCUCACUGUCACUCCUGGUUCUUACACUUAAAUGUCUGGUACGUGUCUCGUAGAAUAGUUCGAACCUGCUCUCGUAGCCGUUCUAACUACUAAAGGAAUGAAAACUUUCUCCGAAAGAAGUACCCCUGUAUCAGACGGGACACAGACUGGGGAGUCCAGUCAACCCGGCGCAACAACCCCAACUUUACAAACACCUGAACCUCUGUAUGAGACCACUAUAUUAUCUUCUACAGUUGUCGUUCGUCGAAAGUUCUCACUCUAGGAAACAGAGACCACUGACGCACCAAUACCCUGGUACCUAACCCGCCCACUAGUCCCGUAAACUGGACCAGUGGCAACACAAGUCACUACCCCGUUUCACACUUUACGACAAUUCCCUGAGACUCCAUGACUUCGGGUAAGGAGGUAAGUAGAAACUUCUACGUGGAAUAAAAAUAAUAGGUUCAGUUGCGCACUCCUAACAAGUAGGGAGGCACAGGUUCAGUCCUUGUACCAACAGACCUAGUACCUCCCGGUCGGCUCUACUUCCACAACACAGAGUACAACUACACCCCGACCACGUACACUUGACCUAUUGGAGACACCGUUUACAAACCCCACUGGCUAGUAGUUCAGGUGGUUUGAAAGUCCUGGGUUUCUUAGAGUGAAACGACAGUACGAAGGGAAUACGAUUGACCGUCAACCCACUAACCACGUGGGAGAGACGACCAGUACUACCUUCAGAGGGUUCACUUCUGGCAUUCACAAGAGCUAUAAGAGUUUGAAUACAACAACGAUUCUGUUUCUCGUGAAAACUGCAAGAUACCGUUUUACCUUCGUAUAGAGAACCCGAUCUUGGAAUAUAGAACCGAGGACAAUCGUGGGGGCCACUAGUACUAAAAACCGGUCCCGUUAAACAAGACCUCUUUGACCGUCAUCUCCUUCGACGACUUGCAGUCGCCUAACCCUAUCACUCUUUACACCUACGUGAACUCGCCUGACAUUUGCAUUUUACCUAACAAGGUCACCUACUACUGUAACAGUCUAUACCUUCACUGGGGUGACUCCUCUGUCACUCACGAAUACUCGAUCAUCUCGUGGGUCUAAAGAGAAAAACGUGACCCCUUCAGCAAUAGUCUAGUCGAGACUUGUAGCUGUUCAGACUUCGUCUAGAGUGGUUACCUUGGUACUGUCAAUCGUCCUUUUCAAAUCUAUGGAGGAGGCCGAAGAACAGUACGUAACCGUUACAAGAACCCAUAUUCCUACUACCUUAACUUCAUGUUACCCGAUCACCACACUAUAGGUUCCGUGUCGUAAAACUUUAUUAACCUAAUCUUUCUGAAGAUCUAUUAAGUGAUCUUAGACACUUACUCCACGUAUGAAGACAGCUGCUGCUCCGACUCGUCCUUUGUUUAGUGGUACUCUCAUGAUUCUUACGGGACCUUCUCAGACCACUUCUGACGUGACCAAGUAACGCGUUACGAAAGAUGAAGAGGUUUUGUCGAAAGCUAAAAGACUGUUUACACCGAAGAUCAAAGAAACCACGAGUACUAAGAUGUAGUAGAUCGAGUUAAUGAUGUCUAGGAGUCAUAGUUUAACACUUCAGUCGUCUAGAUGUAAGUAGACGUCUUCUUAAAAGGCAACACCUCAACCACUACGUCUGGCUCUUCGGUGUCAAUGGAAGUCUUUUACUGCAUUUUUAUAAACUACAACACCACCUGACAAGACUAGUAGUAAAACACUUCCUUGCACCGGUGCUUUUACAAUUUUCUCCAACCGACUUCUUCUAUGUUGUCCUUACCUGUUAGAAUGUUUUACUAAAUGGUCUACUAUAGGUACAAUCUCAAAUACUCCUUUCCUACCUGGAAGACUCCCGAACGUAACAACCCCGUCGACCUUGCGGAAUAGUACUAUUAAAUAAAAAGAAACUAUAAAAGAAGGGCGGCCUAAUAGGAGUACUUGGUGGAAGGCAAGUGAUAGUGAGGCCUCCGGAGGCGGAGUUGGGUUUGAACAUGCUUUGGCCGUUUCAUACAGAUUCGGAAGACUUCUGUACCCGUCCCUGACCAUUACUCCACACCUUAGGCCUCCCGAGCUGACAAGAAGUUGACGACGAUAGAGAAGUCCGAGAACAAGAGUUGCUCUUCGGAAUGAAGUUACUCCGCCCGAUGCUGUUUAAACACCCCUUUCGACUGCCCCUCUUCUUGAGGUAGUGCAUGUUGCUCUUACGAAAGAACGACAGAACGUUCAGGUACUACAUGUAAAACGUGUUUGGUGGUUUCGUAAAACUUUUAAAGCAGUUCCUCGUGAAGUGAACGGCGCGCGGCGUGUAGGACCUUCGGACGUUGCGUAUGGAGCCGCCGCUAGAGCAGCCAGUACGAACGCUGUCGUGCAUGUAUAGUCUACUACCGACGUUCUCGACGAGCUGGCCUAAGUUCUAGUACGAACCGUUCGUUGACGGCUUCGAGCAGCGGCGGAAGAGGCUUCGGCCCUAGCGGACACCGGUCACUGAAGUCUCGCCCGUGUGGACGUACCGCCACCGCCACUGCUGUGCGGGUGACGCUGUGACCAUAACAUAUCCAAAACGUUAUUUUUACGACGGACCGUGUACUAGGAACACAACACAUUACCGUAGAACAUUCUACCCUUUUGAACACGUACUAACUGCGCUACUUGACUUUCCCACGGUCUACUCUCUGUCUUCGUCGACCACACAUCAAACCAAACACUUUAACACGGAGACAUCUCACACUACCUUCAUACAUUUAAACACACACCCACAACUCUAUCGUUCAUGGGACAGACAUAUCAACCGUCUCCUCGAUAGACUACACGGACGUUAUUAUGGUGUCACACUUUGUGUGUAACGAUUUAAUGACGAUGAACAUGAAAUGAACCAUAGUGGGACUCCAAAAGUACA